UGGGGAAUUUUGGACAAUGGGCGAAAGCCUGAUCCAGCCAUGCCGCGUGAGUGAAGAAGGCCUUCGGGUUGUAAAGCUCUUUUAGUCGGAAAGAAAGAGUUGCAAUGAAUAAUUGUGAUUUAUGACGGUACCGACAGAAAAAGCACCGGCUAACUACGUGCCAGCAGCCGCGGUAAUACGUAGGGUGCGAGCGUUAAUCGGAAUUACUGGGCGUAAAGGGUGCGCAGGCGGUCUUGCAAGUCAGAUGUGAAAGCCCCGGGCUUAACCUGGGAAUUGCGUUUGAAACUACAAGGCUAGAGUGCAGCAGAGGGCAGUGGAAUUCCAUGUGUAGCAGUGAAAUGCGUAGAGAUGUGGAAGAACACCGAUGGCGAAGGCAGCUCCCUGGGUUGACACUGACGCUCAUGCACGAAAGCGUGGGGAGCAAACA
rnacentral:rRNA from 1 species